GAGGGCCAAGGCCUUGAUAGUACAGGGGUUUAGUGCACCCUGUAAUUAACACAGCUGCCUGCAAUUUCUGCUGGUUCGAAUCUCUCCAAGGCUCAAGGUUGACUCAGCCUUCCAUCCUUUCUAAGAAACUGGAAGCCAUUUGUGGUCUUUGCAAGGCAAGCUUUUCUUUGGGGGAAGAAAAAAAAGAGUGGAAUCCCUUGCAGGGAUCAGUCCUGCAGCACCAGAAAUGGUCCCGUGAAGGAAAAGGCAUCUGGAGUCCUUGGAGCCAUUUGGAGUUGCUCUGCAGGACAGAGAAAGGAUGGAGACACAACCUUUUGGAAAGGAGGGAGCCGGAAAAGGCCCUUCAGCUGCUCAGCCUGGGAAGGAGGGGAAGCUCUGGACAAGACCCUGGCAGAAGAUCCUGGAGGAGGAAACUAUCCUCCUAACUGAGGAUAGUUAACUUAGUCCAGGGCUGAACUAAGAAGUUCAGCCCUGGACCUCCAUCCAAUACCGGGAGGCUGAGGGUCCCCGAGGCCUUUGCAGCCGACUCCAUGGCUUUUGCAGGCGAUGGCUGAGACCAGAAAAGAACACCAAAGCCCAGAUUAUGGACCUGGUGGUUCUGGACAAUUCCUGGAUCUCCUACCCACAGAGAUGGAGGGCUGGGUGCGGGAGUGUGGAGCAGAGACCAGCUCCCAGGUGGUGGCCCUGGCAGAAGGCCGCCUCCUUAACCAGGCGGAGGAGCAGAAGUAGCUGGUCCAGUUGCAGGUAAUAAUGGGCAGGAGAAUCAAGAUUUCUGUGAACUGUUCCAAGUUCACAAUGCUAAAGAUGGAACUGAACAGUUUGGAAUUGGAAUGGAAUUUCAAAGCCAUGAGAGAAACCAGUCAAAGAAUUUGAAUCAGGAAAGCUCAUCUUCCACCGAUGCUCCGAUGCAAGACUUUCUUGCCCAACGAGAGAAAAUAAGGAAAAAAUAUGUUGGGAAAAGUGUGAAGCUAAUCAAAGCUAAAGUAUAAGUAAAUGAACACUAUUUAACCCAAAACAAAAGAGACAAUGCUAUAAGAUGAUACAACGGACAAAAUUAUAAAGGGACAUUCAUUCCUUCUCUUGGAAAUACCGUAUUUUUCGGAGUAUAAGACGCACCGGAGUAUAAGACGCACCUACCUUUUUUGGUUGUUGUUUUUUUUAAGUUUUUUUAAAUUUUUUAGACAAACACACAUACAAACAUACAAUAUAUUUUCUUUGAACAGAGUAUGUGGCUGGUUCACAAAUUUAAACGGCAUUUAGUCAUUUCAAUUAAAUUUACUAUUUCUAUAUUUCCUUUUUGCCAUAUUUAUUCCUCAUCUAUUUUUUUAAAA